GCCGGCGCGAGCGGCGCGCAGGCGCGGCGGCCGCGGCGUCCCGGGCGCCAUUUUGUGCGCGGCUCUUUCCCAUUUUAGGCCGCGGGGAGAGGGAGGAGCGGGAGCGCCCGUGGGAUCGGCGGAGGGAACGGCCGGGAGGCUCAUCCUGAGCUCCGCUGAGGCGGCACCGCAUCUCUUCCCGGCGGUACGACCCCCUCGCUGGGUCUUGGCGGCGGCCCCGUUGCGGCGGCGAUGGCGCAGGAGCGGGCCCGGCCGGAGCCGGAAGUGGAGCGGCCGCCAUGGAGGCGCCGGGACCGCCCGCCGUGAGGGCGCGGAGCCGCCGGGGCGGCCCGAGCGCCCCACAGAGACACACCCGGGGUGCAGGUAGGGGCUGCCGGCCCGCGCCGCCUUCCCGCGGGGGAGGGCGCAGCUCCGCCGCCCUUCAUCGUCCCCGUGACGCGUGUGGGGAGGGAACGCGCCCGGCUCCUGCUGCUCCAGCGCUUCCCCACGGUUCCCUUUGCAGGAAGGCGCGGCAGGGACAGGGAUGAGCAGUGUGGAGGAGCCUGAGGGCUUCUUCUGGGAGGUGUGUGGGGCGUUGUGGUGUCUGGUCCUGGAGGUGCGGCCUUACGAGGAGGGAUACCCGCACCUGUCGGAGUCCUUUGAGACAGUUUGGUCUUAGAGACGAGCUUUCACUUUACUAAGUAGCAGUUACAGGCCGAAGCCUAUGAUAAAACCAAAUGUUUUACAUUUAGUUUCACAUUUUGACAUGUUAUAUAGAAUUUGUUCUGUGGUUUAUUGUAAUACAGAUGCAUAGUUUUUAUUCUGAAGUAACAGAUGCAUAAUUUUUAUUCCAGAGUGAUGAGCAUCUGUUUGAUAGUGCUCACUGUGAGCUAAAAGGCAUCUCUAAGGGUUACUUAAAGCAACAGGAGGGGACCAUUGUGGUAAUUUGACAGAAAUAGAUGAUGAAUUCAGGUAUGGUUCCCAUGUAAGUUCUGCUUCGAAUGUGGCUUUUGUAUUUUUUUUAAUUAAAUUUGAUGCUUUGGAAUGAUGCAAGCAAUGGGAGAGUUCUCUGGGGAGCUCAGUGAGCAGAGGUGUGUGGUGCAGGUAAGCUCUGAAGGUUUAAUAAUGCACAAAGUACACGAGACUUGUUUGGAAUUGACCGCAGGCAAGGCCUGACAUGGAGGAAAGGUCUGGAAUUUUGGUGUUUGGAUCUGUAAAUAUAAAGGUGGUUGAAGAUCUCUACAAAAUGUCUAAAGGUUGAGGCAUUUAGUGUUGAGGGAGUUUUGAUCCUGUGCUGUCGUUCUGUUUUAUGCAGGGGAUAACGUGGAGAGUAUCAGAGGGGAACCUAGAGGAGACCUGGAGAGGGACUUUGGACAAGGGCAUGGAGUGACAGGACACAGGGAAUGACUUUGCACUGACUGAGAGCAGGUUGAGCUUCCAUAUGAGGAAGGAAUUCCUGCCUGUGAGGGAGGGGAGGCCCUGGCACAGGGUGCCCAGAGCAGCUGUGGCUGCCCCUGGGUCCCUGGAGGUGUCCAAGGCCAGCUUGGAUGGGGUUUGGGGCACCCUGGGAUAGUAGGAAGGUUUGGGACACCCUGGGAAGGUGUCCCUGCCACGGCAGGGGGGUUGGAAUUGGAGGAUGUUUUUAAGGUUCCUUCCAACCCAAACCAUUCUCUGACUCUAUGACUUAGAAUAUAUUUUGUCUAACCUAAAUGUUAACAAAGCUUCCAAAAUUCCAUUAGGAUGUGAACUUCUGAUCUCUGGGGAAUGUGUUGGGCAAACCCUGGCUUGGAUUGUGAGCUGUCCUGAGGCACGGCUUGUAUCUCUGUACUGAGUGUAGAACCAUUCAAUAAAUAACAGUUUGUGAUUGAACUAAUCAGUCUUGUUUCUGAUUUCUAGCAUAAAAAUCCUGCCCCCGUGGAUGUAUCCCUUACAGCCAGCACAAUUAGGAGGCUCGUGGCACAUCACCCACCAAGCUGCUGCGAGCAAAAGGACUUUAUUUCUGUACAGCCAGUGAGCAGGAGAGGUGGCUUGUUCUUUUAUGGUAUUUUAAGCACCUAAGAAUGCCCAGUGGGCAGCUCAGCACAGCACAAAUGUUCUCACACAGCUUAGGGAUGAUGUCUGCUGUCAUGGAAUGAGAACGCUGUGCUUUUUGGCAAGGCAGGAAAAGAGUCUAAUUUUGAUUUAAAUAUCUUUUCAUUGGAAUAGGAACUUCAGGACUCAAGAGUUCCUCCAUGGUACUGAAAUUUUUCAUCCUAAAUGUCACUGAUAAACAGCUCUGAAACGUGAAGCCAUCCUGGCUGUGCUGGAUCUUUGCUCUGUGCCCCCUCCCCCUGUGCAAACCCUUCCAGGGAAGCUGUGGGAAUGAGUGGAAGCAGCGAGCAGAGGAGGUCACUUUGCUGAGCCUGGUGUGUUCACUGCACAGAGCUAACAGCUGAGGAGCUCUAGAGUGGGACAAUCACAGUAAGUCCUUUUAGGAUCUAAUCUCUCUGUACACAGACACACUGUGAGGUAGAGACAUUUCAUUUUUUAGAUCCCUGUUCAAAGCAGCAGUACUUGGUUAUCUGUACUUUGUUAGUACCAAAGGUCUUGUCGAUGCAGCACGGGAGAUUUGCCUGGGGAAAUGCAUUUGAGUCCAGCUUGAACAAAUUAAAGGCUUCUUAAUUUAAAAACUAUUAAAAGCGUUAAGGCACUCCAAGCAUGGCACUGGUCCUUGGUCACAUGGAAUUCUAAGUGUGGCUGUAAGUAAAUUAGUAACAAUAAUACACUUAAGCAUUUGAAAAUGUGUUUGGUGUAUUAGUUGCAGAAUAUACUUCUCCCAGAAAUCCAAAGUCUUCCACAAGUGUGGCACUGGAUAAGAAAAAGCAGAUUCAGGAAUGUCUGCAUCUUACAGUUCUCUCUGUAAGAACAGCAGAACAAGUCACUGUUGAUUGUAUCACGUGGCUUCCUUCAGAUCACAGAUAAAGUAAGAAGGUUUCUGGGAUAAGUGAGAUGGUUUUAUUCUGUUCAGUAAUCACAUACUGCUCUUGACAAACUGGAUUUUUUUUGUAGCUAAAACAACUCAGAAUACACGUACAAUUGCAGCCAAAAUACUGUAGAAAUAUUAAAAAUAUUAGAUCUUAUUCUAACACUGAGAUUCUUUCUAUGUAGUGAAGUACAGUGCUACUCUGUCAGACUUUGCAGUUGUUCAGGAGACUUUUAGCUUUUAUUCCUGUUUCCAUUGUUCUUUUUUUAAUGCUCUUCCCCUUGGUGUUUUUGUUGUUAAAUAGACAACAGUUCUGCAGAUCCUGUGUGGAACUGCAGUAUUUCUGUACAGAUUGAGGUCACAUGCUUCCCACAAAGCUUUAUUAUCUAAAUGAUUGCAAACUGCUCACAGGAGCAUGGUAAGAAGUUGUGAAGUGCAUGUAUAAAGAGAAAAAAUCCCAAUAAAUUUGAAGUUGAUAGCAAAAACAACCCAGCCAGUAAUAGCUGGAUUAUAAAAAUGGAAGAUCAGACCUUUCGUGGUCACAGAGAAAAAUAAAACUAUCAGCAUUAACUUCCUUCAUUUUUAUAAUCACAUGUGUGAGAGAGGGGAAAAGAAACAAACCAACUUGAAUGAAACCUGUUAAAUGCUGACUUAUAUUUUCCCCAGCUCUGGGGCAUUCCUGUCCUCAAGUUCAGAAAAUGGACAUUUAAUUAUUCAAACAUAACUUCAUGCUGAUUUUAAUCAUUGCCUUGGGAGGGUUCUCACUGGAGAAGACAAAGCCUGGCAGCCCUCAGGAAGCCUGGAUUGAUGCAUUCUCUCCACUGAAGUUCUGUGCUGAUUUCUUGGAUCUGCUCUGGGGCUGUUUUGCAGCAGUGCAGUAUCUUCUGGACAUGAGUAAUGAUGAAAAUAUUUGUGAUGUAGAGCACUGUCACAAAUACUUGUGUGAGAAAGAUCUCAGAAUUGGCAUUUCUAUCAGCUCUGCAAAAACAAUACUCACUUUGUAGUUGCUUUUCCCAGGAACACCAGUGAAGUGAUCCAUGCUCAGUGAUCUCCAGGGAGGAGCAGCCCCAUUUUCCUGAAUAAACCAUGCCCAGAGUUUGAGCUGUGUGGCUGCAGGACUGCAAGAUCACGUUGGUGAUGAUAGUUACAGCUAUCCCGGGGAAGCCAUGCAGUGUUGCAAAACAACCACACAGCACUGCAGGGAAGCUGAAGAUUUGUGCAGCAGCUUUAAUUUAGAUGUGGCAAAGGAUUCUGUCAUCACCUGCAAUCAAGUGAUCAGCCUGUCUUUCAAAACUUGAAGUAGGUGCUUGAAGUCAAAUGAGAAUUUAGUUACUGUUCUGGGUAGCACUGCUCACAGGGCUGCUGAAGGAGAAUGUUCUUACAUAUUUUUCAAAAUAACACUUGGGAUGCCAGCAGUAAAGGUGAAGGAUCAGAUCUGUACAUCUACCUGUCAUUAGUUCUCUUUCAGGCAAGUUCAAGACAGUGCUUAGUACCAGAAAUGUAUUUUGUGCAUGUACAGGCUGCAUCAGUGCAUCAACCAUUACAGUGCUGUAAACUUAAUUUUUUUGAACUCUGUGCUUUUUAACUGGCUUCCAAAUUAUCUCUGCAGCAUGCAGCCUUUUUUCUUGGCUUCUGAGGUGGAAACCUUAUUCCUGAUGUAAAUUCUUUAUCUGUGAAAGUUUUGAUCUUUCAAGGGGAGAAAAUACGGGUUUUUUACAGGAAUGAAGGAAUAGUUUUAUUGGUAAAUACAGUUACCCAUCUACAGGUUGAAUAUGUGUUAUGUUCUUGAAAUAAACUGAAAUGGAAAACAUUUAAACUUAUACCUGAAUCUCUAAAUAGUCUGUAUUCUUCCUAACAAAGUCAAAUUUCUAGUUUAUAAUUACUGCUGUUUAGUAAACUCCCAUCUAAAUCGAACGUACAGGGUAAAACUUGAAAGCAAAACCCAUGUGGGUUUGGGAGUGGCAAUUACUUAUUUCAUUGCUAUGAAAACCAGCAGGAGAAAAAGUCUUUGAAGUUCUGUGUGUUGUAUUUGAAGAACCUUACUGCAGUCUUCUGAGUAAAUUAAGAUGCUGAAAUAGAAGCUACUCCUCCAUAAAUAUUUAACUUCUAAGAUCUACUUUGUAGCAACAGUGUGGUCACUUUUUCAGCCUUUUGUGAUACCACACUGGGAGGAAAUGUUUACAGAAGGGUGUCUAAUGCUGCCCAUAGCUAAGAUGUGACUUGCUGCUGACGCUGGAGAGCUGAAAUGGGUGUUUCAUUUUGCUGUAGAGAACUAACUCUGGCUGGAUUCGUUUCUUUACCUGUGUUAGAUUCAGAGUCUUCUUCUUUGUCAGUAGUUUGAGUGAUCUGUCAUGGGCAAUCUGAAGUAAGAAUCCUCCCUGUUUAUCCUUUUAUCCUACCUGUUGCUAGUUUAUAUUUUAGACUGAUUUUUUUUUCCUCAUUGCUUCCUUUGUACACUUUUUGCUGCAGCAGUGGCCAUGUAAAAAAGGUACAAGGAAAUCAAGGUCUCAUGAGCCAUGUUCUCAUACAGCAGGGUCUGAAGAAGCUUGUGCAAGUGGCUUGCAGAGUUCAGACUUAACUAAAAUGCAUCUUUCCAUACUUAGGGAGAUAAAGAACAGGGUCCUAACACUGAUGGUGAGUCCUUGGACAUGGUCCACCUGCCAGAACAGAAGUGUCUCUCAGGCUUGCCAGCACUGAUAAGCUGUGAUUAAAAUACUUUAUUGUUACAGAUGCAGAGUGUAGAGCAACGUGAUCCAGCAGGAUCAGGACUGUGGAUUCACAGUCCUUCCUUGUAACCCUCCAGAAGCACUGUGUGUGUCCCUGAAGUGUGUGUGUGUGACACUGCAGUGUGUGUGUCACUGCCAGCCUGCAGCCUGGCACAGAGAGGGAAGCAGCAGUCCUGCUGUUCAGCGUGGCUGCUCAGCAAAAGAAAGCUGGUGAGGGCAGUGGUUACAUGGCCUUUCUUCCAGGGCUCUUGCUUGUCCAAAUUAUUUCAGUCACUGCUGGUUAAUUUACUUUUCAGCCUCAGCUAAUAAGACUGCAGUUGGUCAGUAUUGAUUCUUGCUUAAAAGUAUUAAUGCCUUCAGUCUUUCAAAUCAAAUGUUUUGAGCUGUAAGUAGCUGCCGUUGGUGAGAAUCUACAGUUCAGCCAGUGAUUAAAUUCUGAUUCUUUUUUUCCCUGCUCAGCCAUCUUUUCCAAAGCUAUUUUUCACUUGUCUGUGUCUUUUGGAGGAUAUUAUUCCAGGUAGCUCAUUUCCAGGUGGCCAGGGAGUUGGCUGCCCCAUCAACACUUGAGCUGUUAAUUAAUUGCCAGACUGUGCUGUUUGCUGGAGUUGGUACCUUCAGGGAUGUGCUUUCCCCUGCAGUGCUUCUGUGUAGUGUCACCUCAUUAGCUACAGCUCUAAACAGAGCUGUGUUGUGUGACAUUCAGAACUCUGACAGAGCAAAAUACAUGGCUUUUUAGAGGGUUUUGUUAUUCUGGAUCAAUGGAAGAUGUAUUUGUGGGAGUGAUCUGUCUUGUCCUUGCAAGCAGCAAACAUGAUACACUGGUGUGAGGGUAGACACAAGCACUUGGCUGGGGGAAGCAUCUCUUGUUAAACCAACUGAUGGAAAACACAUUUAGCUGCAUUUUGGUCGUGCCUCAAACAGCAUUUCAGAUUUGUUUCUGUUCCUGAUGUACAUAGAAGUGUUUGGGGGUGAUAGGCUCCCUCUUGGUGGGCUUUGUUAGCUGUGGGAGCACCUGGGGUUACAAUUGAAACGGAGCUUUGAACAUUCUGCUAAAGUAGCUGGUGCUUCCUGUGCUGCUCUUGUCACCUGGUAAUGCAGUCUCAUGUAAGAGCUCUCUGUUCUUUCUGAAUGUAAUGAAAGGAGCAGAUUUCCUGCUUCUCGAAAAUCCCAACAAACAGGAUAAAAUUUAACUUACAAAUAUUAUAAUAGGCAUCACUUGGGUGGGUUUUGGGGGUGUGUGGGUGUGUUUGGAAUGCAUGUUUUUGGGUGAAUUCACUAUAAUCAAACCUACUCCUAAUCUGGUGAAAUUGGAAUCCUGAUGACUGAUUUUGGAUAUGCAGACAGUAUGUGUACCAAAUUAUAUCUAAUUUUAUGCAGCAAUAAAGCACACCGUGUUCUUUCUAAA